CUCCGUGCAGACAGCGACAGGAUGGCUGGAAGGCUUGGUAUAAGAACUCCAAGAAAAAAAAAUUGAUGGAAAUGGAUAUGUAACAGAGAAAGGGUAGCGGCACUAGGAUUAGAACCUCUCCUAGAUUUGAUGGGAUGUGAAAAAGAGAUCUAUGGAGAAAUAUGUUAUGCUAAGAUUAGUACCUCCCCUAGACUUAUGA
rnacentral:lncRNA from 1 species